rnacentral:lncRNA from 1 species
GGUUGGGGAUCUGACUUAGGAAUUUGAUGGCCUGGUGGAUGUUGAUGAGAUUUACCAUGGGUUGUCGAGGUUAUUUAAUAGCGAGUUUGGCAACGCGACCGCUCCCAAAGCAUUUUUGCUAAAGAAUUCAUCGACCAGCAUGGUGAGUCUACAUUUAUUUGUGUUGUGAUGAGAUGUUCUUUGGAGUUUCGAUCUUUUUUGAUUUGAAGUAUUGCUUGAAUUUAUAGAGUGAUCCCUGCGUGUAUUUAUGCCCUCCAGCAUUGCCGGUGGAGCUCAGGCGGCGCCACCCAAGGUUGUGCCUAUCGAUGUGCUGAUUGCACCGCAACCGAGCCCUACGUUUGAGUCGGACUUGUCUCUGGGGCCUGCUGAUGGCGGAGAUCGGGUUGUAGGUCGGGAGACACGGCAGGCAACUCGCAAGCAACCCCUCUCAAAGGCCUCAGAACCGGUCUAGAAGAAGAAAACGUUGGCCGGCUGGAAGAAGGCUGCGCCGACUUCUGUUGCUACCUCUGGGUCAGGUGGUGAGGCAGGGGCCGGCAUGGCUAGCCUGGCUGUGUAGGAGGUUAGGCUAGAGCUCGCAGUGGCUACCGUAGCUGACGUGGCGCGCCUAAAGGAGGCGCUGAAGCAGAAAAUGCGGAGCAGGUCUAGUGGCGAUGCUCUUGCUCCGCCGCAAGAGUUGCAGUCGAAAAUGCGCCUGAGGAAGGGCAAUCUGUAAGUUAU